rnacentral:rRNA from 1 species
GAUAAACGCUGGCGGCGUGCCUAAUACAUGCAAGUCGAGCGAACGGACGAGAAGCUUGCUUCUCUGAUGUUAGCGGCGGACGGGUGAGUAACACGUGGAUAACCUACCUAUAAGACUGGGAUAGCUUCGGGAAACCGGAGCUAAUACCGGAUAAUAUUUUGAACCGCAUGGUUCAAAAGUGAAAGACGGUCUUGCUGUCACUUAUAGAUGGAUCCGCGCUGCAUUAGCUAGUUGGUAAGGUAACGGCUUACCAAGGCAACGAUGCAUAGCCGACCUGAGAGGGUGAUCGGCCACACUGGAACUGAGACACGGUCCAGACUCCUACGGGAGGCAGCAGUAGGGAAUCUUCCGCAAUGGGCGAAAGCCUGACGGAGCAACGCCGCGUGAGUGAUGAAGGUCUUCGGAUCGUAAAACUCUGUUAUUAGGGAAGAACAUAUGUGUAAGUAACUGUGCACAUCUUGACGGUACCUAAUCAGAAAGCCACGGCUAACUACGUGCCAGCAGCCGCGGUAAUACGUAGGUGGCAAGCGUUAUCCGGAAUUAUUGGGCGUAAAGCGCGCGUAGGCGGUUUUUUAAGUCUGAUGUGAAAGCCCACGGCUCAACCGUGGAGGGUCAUUGGAAACUGGAAAACUUGAGUGCAGAAGAGGAAAGUGGAAUUCCAUGCGUAGCGGUGAAAUGCGCAGAGAUAUGGAGGAACACCAGUGGCGAAGGCGACUUUCUGGUCUGUAACUGACGCUGAUGUGCGAAAGCGUGGGGAUCAAACAGGAUUAGAUACCCUGGUAGUCCACGCCGUAAACGAUGAGUGCUAAGUGUUAGGGGGUUUCCGCCCCUUAGUGCUGCAGCUAACGCAUUAAGCACUCCGCCUGGGGAGUACGACCGCAAGGUUGAAACUCAAAGGAAUUGACGGGGACCCGCACAAGCGGUGGAGCAUGUGGUUUAAUUCGAAGCAACGCGAAGAACCUUACCAAAUCUUGACAUCCUUUGACAACUCUAGAGAUAGAGCCUUCCCCUUCGGGGGACAAAGUGACAGGUGGUGCAUGGUUGUCGUCAGCUCGUGUCGUGAGAUGUUGGGUUAAGUCCCGCAACGAGCGCAACCCUUAAGCUUAGUUGCCAUCAUUAAGUUGGGCACUCUAAGUUGACUGCCGGUGACAAACCGGAGGAAGGUGGGGAUGACGUCAAAUCAUCAUGCCCCUUAUGAUUUGGGCUACACACGUGCUACAAUGGACAAUACAAAGGGCAGCGAAACCGCGAGGUCAAGCAAAUCCCAUAAAGUUGUUCUCAGUUCGGAUUGUAGUCUGCAACUCGACUACAUGAAGCUGGAAUCGCUAGUAAUCGUAGAUCAGCAUGCUACGGUGAAUACGUUCCCGGGUCU